AGAUCUCUUCGGAGUGACCGAGCCCGAGUUAGUGGCGGAUGGGUGAGUAACGCGUGGGGAACCUACCUUUUAGUGGGGAAUAAUCGUUGGAAACGACGACUAAUACCGCAUACAGUGUCCGGAUCGCAUGAUCCGGAUAAAAAGACGGCCUUUGUGCUGUCGCUAAGAGAUGGACCCGCGUCUGAUUAGCUAGUUGGUAAGGUAACGGCUUACCAAGGCGACGAUCAGUAGCCGGCCUGAGAGGGUGAACGGCCACAUUGGGACUGAGACACGGCCCAAACUCC
rnacentral:rRNA from 1 species